AUAAGACCUGUGAAACUCUAAAACACAUCUCCUGAAUGCAACUCAGACACUUUUAUUAAGCUAAGGCCUC
rnacentral:tRNA from 1 species